UACGGAGGGUGCAAGCGUUGUCCGGAAUCACUGGGCGUAAAGGGCGCGUAGGCGGCUCAUGAAGGCUGUGGUGAAAGUCCGGGGCUCAACCUCGGAUCGGCCGUGGCGACUCGUGGGCUGGAGCACUGUAGAGGCUCAUGGAAUUCCGGGUGUAGCGGUGGAAUGCGUAGAGAUCCGGAAGAACACCGGUGGCGAAGGCGGUGAGCUGGGCAGUUGCUGACACUGAGGCGCGACAGCGUGGGGAGCAAACAGG
rnacentral:rRNA from 1 species